GCGCGGGUGGCGGAAUGGCAGACGCGCUAGCUUGAGGUGCUAGUCCUCGAAAGGGGUGGGGGUUCAAGUCCCCCUCCGCGCA
rnacentral:tRNA from 2 species